rfam:Providencia rettgeri strain MR4 P_rettgeri_contig_118, whole genome shotgun sequence.
UCAUCAUCACCAUCAUCCUGAUUAGUCUUUCGGGCGAUGUGUGCUGGAAGACGAUCAACGAAUCUUCCGGUGGCUGAAAUGCAAAUGAGAGAACCCUCGGAAGAUAAUCUUCCGAGGGUUUUUUUAU